UUUCCGUAGGUGAACCUGCGGAAGGAUCAUUAUUGAAUGAACUUGGCGUGGUUGUCGCUGGCCCUCUCGGGGGUAUGUGCACGCCCGUCAUCUUUAUCUUUCCACCUGUGCACACUUUGUAGACUUGAAUAGUAUUUUCUGAGGCAACUCAGUCGGGAGGAUUGCUGGUAUUUAUCAGCUCUCCUUGCAUUAUUCAAGCCUAUGUUUUUCAUAUACCCCAAAAAUGUAACAGAAUGUAUCAUUGGGCCUUGUGCCUAUAAACUAUAUACAACUUUCAGCAACGGAUCUCUUGGCUCUC
rnacentral:misc_RNA from 1 species